rnacentral:rRNA from 1 species
UACAGAGGGUGCAAGCGUUGUUCGGAAUUACUGGGCGUAAAGGGUUCGUAGGCGGUGCGGCAAGUUGGGAGUGAAAUCUCUGGGCUUAACCCAGAGACUGCUCUCAAAACUGCUGUGCUUGAGUGUGGGAGAGGCGCGUGGAAUUGCAGGUGUAGCGGUGAAAUGCGUAGAUAUCUGCAGGAACACCCGUGGCGAAAGCGGCGCGCUGGACCACAACUGGCGCUGAGGAACGAAAGCUAGGGGAGCAAACAGG